AACACAUGCAAGUCGAACGAAGGCUUCGGCCUUAGUGGCGCACGGGUGCGUAACGCGUGGGAAUCUGCCCUUAGGUUCGGAAUAACAGCUGGAAACGGCUGCUAAUACCGGAUGAUGACGAAAGUCCAAAGAUUUAUCGCCUGAGGAUGAGCCCGCGUUGGAUUAGGUAGUUGGUGGGGUAAAGGCCUACCAAGCCGACGAUCCAUAGCUGGUCUGAGAGGAUGAUCAGCCACACUGGGACUGAGACACGGCCCAGACUCCUACGGGAGGCAGCAGUGGGGAAUAUUGGACAAUGGGCGAAAGCCUGAUCCAGCAAUGCCGCGUGAGUGAUGAAGGCCCUAGGGUUGUAAAGCUCUUUUACCCGGGAAGAUAAUGACUGUACCGGGAGAAUAAGCCCCGGCUAACUCCGUGCCAGCAGCCGCGGUAAUACGGAGGGGGCUAGCGUUGUUCGGAAUUACUGGGCGUAAAGCGCACGUAGGCGGCUUUGUAAGUCAGAGGUGAAAGCCUGGAGCUCAACUCCAGAACUGCCUUUGAGACUGCAUCGCUUGAAUCCAGGAGAGGUCAGUGGAAUUCCGAGUGUAGAGGUGAAAUUCGUAGAUAUUCGGAAGAACACCAGUGGCGAAGGCGGCUGACUGGACUGGUAUUGACGCUGAGGUG
rnacentral:rRNA from 1 species